UUGACCUCAAAUCAGGUAGGACUACCCGCUGAACUUAAGCAUAUCAAUAAGCGGAGGAAAAGAAACUAACAAGGAUUCCCCUAGUAACUGCGAGUGAAGCGGGAAAAGCUCAAAUUUAAAAUCUGGCGGUCUCUGGCCGUCCGAGUUGUAAUCUAGAGAAGUGUUAUCCGCGCUGGACCGUGUACAAGUCUCCUGGAAUGGAGCGUCAUAGAGGGUGAGAAUCCCGUCUUUGACACGGACUGCCAGGGCUUUGUGAUGCGCUCUCAAAGAGUCGAGUUGUUUGGGAAUGCAGCUCAAAAUGGGUGGUAAAUUCCAUCUAAAGCUAAAUAUUGGCGAGAGACCGAUAGCGAACAAGUACCGUGAGGGAAAGAUGAAAAG
rnacentral:rRNA from 1 species